CGCAACCCUCGACCUUAGUUGCCAGCAUUCAGUUGGGCACUCUAAGGUGACUGCCGGCUAAAAGUCGGAGGAAGGUGGGGGAGUGACGUCAAAUCAUCAUGCCCCUUAUGACCUGGGCUACACACGUGCUACAAUGGGCGGUACAAAGGGUCGCGAACCCGCGAGGGGGAGCCAAUCCCAAAAAAGCCGCUCUCAGUUCGGAUUGCAGGCUGCAACUCGCCUGCAUGAAGCCGGAAUCGCUAGUAAUCGCGGAUCAGCAUGCCGCGGUGAAUACGUUCCCGGGCCUU
rnacentral:rRNA from 1 species